rnacentral:rRNA from 1 species
GAUGAACGCUAGCGGCAGGCCUAACACAUGCAAGUCGAGGGAGAGGUUAUCUUCGGGUAACCAAAACCGGCGCACGGGUGCGUAACGCGUAUACAAUCUGCCUUUCACAUAGGGAUAGCCCGAAGAAAUUUGGAUUAAUACCUAAUGGUAUAUAGGAGCGGCAUCGUUUUUAUAUUAAAGCUACGGUGGUGAAAGAUGAGUAUGCGUUCUAUUAGCUAGUUGGAGAGGUAACGGCUCCCCAAGGCGACGAUAGAUAGGGGUUCUGAGAGGGAUGUCCCCCACACUGGUACUGAGAUACGGACCAGACUCCUACGGGAGGCAGCAGUGAGGAAUAUUGGACAAUGGUCGGAAGACUGAUCCAGCCAUGCCGCGUGCAGGAUGAAGGUCCUAUGGAUUGUAAACUGCUUUUGUAAGGGAAGAAUAAGGAGUACGUGUACUUUGAUGACGGUACCUUACGAAUAAGCAUCGGCUAACUCCGUGCCAGCAGCCGCGGUAAUACGGAGGACGCGAGCGUUAUCCGGAAUCAUUGGGUUUAAAGGGUCCGUAGGCGGGCUGAUAAGUUAGAGGUGAAAGCGCUUAGCUCAACUAAGCAACUGCCUUUGAAACUGUCAGUCUUGAAUGAUUGUGAAGUAGUUGGAAUGUGUAGUGUAGCGGUGAAAUGCUUAGAUAUUACACAGAACACCGAUAGCGAAGGCAUAUUACUAACAAUUUAUUGACGCUGAUGGACGAAAGCGUGGGGAGCGAACAGG